rnacentral:rRNA from 1 species
UACGGAGGAUCCGAGCGUUAUCCGGAUUUAUUGGGUUUAAAGGGUGCGCAGGCGGGAUGUUAAGUCGGCGGUGAAAUUUUGCAGCUCAACUGUAAAAGUGCCUUCGAAACUGGUUUCCUUGAGUGUAGAUGAAGUAGGCGGAAUUUGUGGUGUAGCGGUGAAAUGCUUAGAUAUCACGAGGAACUCCGAUUGCGCAGGCAGCUUACUAAACUACUACUGACGCUCAGGCACGAAGGCGUGGGGAUCAAACAGGAUUAGAUACCCCGGUAGUCCCUGA